CCUACGGGGGGCAGCAGUGGGGAAUAUUGCGCAAUGGGCGAAAGCCUGACGCAGCGACGCCGCGUGAGGGAUGAAGGUCUUCGGAUCGUAAACCUCUGUCAGCAGGGAAGAACGGUCACUGUGCUAAUCAGCAGUGAAUUGACGGUACCUGCAACGGAAGCACCGGCUAACUCCGUGCCAGCAGCCGCGGUAAUACGGAGGGUGCGAGCGUUAAUCGGAAUUACUGGGCGUAAAGCGCUCGUAGGCGGUAUGUCAAGUAAAGGGUGAAAUCCCCGCGCUAAACGUGGGAACUGCCUUUGAAACUGGCAAACUGGAGUGUGUGAGAGGAUAGUGGAAUUCCAGGUGUAGGAGUGAAAUGCGUAGAUAUCUGGAGGAACAUCAGUGGCGAAGGCGACUAUCUGGCACAUAACUGACGCUGAGGAGCGAAAGCGUGGGUAGCAAACAGGAUUAGAUACCCUUGUAGUC
rnacentral:rRNA from 1 species